ACGGGCCGGGUCGAGAGCCCGGAGUAGAGCGCAUUUCAGCGGCUGGUGGAAACGCCCAGGAGGCGGCGACGGCGCAGCCUGGGACCGCCAGGCGCGCGGGGCGGGAAGCUGCCAGUUGCAGCCCGGCCCCGGACCCCAGGCUUUCCUGCCAAACCUGCGUGAAGCAGCAGUGAAGUAGUUGCAGUUUCACCAAAACACCGAACUUC
rfam:Tupaia belangeri cont1.606764, whole genome shotgun sequence.